AGCUGUUUUGGGACUACAAUUCCCAUCACCCCUGACCACUGGUCCUGUUAGCUAGGGGUGAUGGGAGUUGUAGUCCCAAAACAGCU